rnacentral:rRNA from 1 species
ACAGCAGUAGCCGCGGUAAUACGAAGGGUGCAAGCGUUACUCGGAAUUACUGGGCGUAAAGCGUGCGUAGGUGGUGGUUUAAGUCCGUUGUGAAAGCCCUGGGCUCAACCUGGGAAUUGCAGUGGAUACUGGGUCACUAGAGUGUGGUAGAGGAUAGUGGAAUUUCCGGUGUAGCAGUGAAAUGCGUAGAGAUCGGAAGGAACAUCUGUGGCGAAGGCGACUAUCUGGGCCAACACUGACACUGAGGCACGAAAGCGUGGGGAGCAAACAGGAUUAGAGACCCCCGUAGUCCCUGUCUCUUAUAC